rnacentral:rRNA from 1 species
CGAACGGGUGAGUAAUAUAUCGGAACGUGCCCAGUCGUGGGGGAUAACGUAGGCGAAAGUUACGCUAAUACCGCAUACGAUCUAUGGAUGAAANCGGGGGAUCGCAAGACCUCGCGCGAUUGGAGCGGCCGAUAUCAGAUUAGGUAGUUGGUGAGGUAAAGGCUCACCAAGCCGACGAUCUGUAGCUGGUCUGAGAGGACGACCAGCCACACUGGGACUGAGACACGGCCCAGACUCCUACGGGAGGCAGCAGUGGAGAAUUUUGGACAAUGGGCGCAAGCCUGAUCCAGCAAUGCCGCGUGCAGGAUGAAGGCCUUCGGGUUGUAAACUGCUUUUGUACGGAACGAAACGGUGAGCUCUAAUACAGUUUGCUAAUGACGGUACCGUAAGAAUAAGCACCGGCUAACUACGUG